rnacentral:rRNA from 1 species
AGUGAACGCUGGCGGUAGGCCUAACACAUGCAAGUCGAACGGCAGCACAGUAAGAGCUUGCUCUUACGGGUGGCGAGUGGCGGACGGGUGAGGAAUACAUCGGAAUCUACUUUUUCGUGGGGGAUAACGUAGGGAAACUUACGCUAAUACCGCAUACGACCUACGGGUGAAAGCAGGGGAUCUUCGGACCUUGCGCGAUUGAAUGCGCCGAUGUCGGUUUAGCUAGUUGGCGGGGUAAAGGCCCACCAAGGCGACGAUCCGUAGCUGGUCUGAGUGGAUGAUGAGCCACACUGGAACUGAGACACGGUCCAGACUCCUACGGGAGGCAGCAGUGGGGAAUAUUGGACAAUGGGCGCAAGCCUGAUCCAGCCAUACCGCGUGGGUGAAGAAGGCCUUCGGGUUGUAAAGCCCUUUUGUUGGGAAAGAAAAGCAGCAGGUUAAUACCCCGCUGUUCUGACGGUACCCAAAGAAUAAGCACCGGCUAACUUCGUG